rnacentral:rRNA from 1 species
CGAAAGCCUGACGGAGCAACGCCGCGUGAGGGAUGAAGGCCUCUGGGCUGUAAACCUCUUUUAUCAAGGAAGAAGAUCUGACGGUACUUGAUGAAUAAGCCACGGCUAAUUCCGUGCCAGCAGCCGCGGUAAUACGGGAGUGGCAAGCGUUAUCCGGAAUUAUUGGGCGUAAAGCGUCCGCAGGCGGUUUUGAAAGUCUGUUGUUAAAGCGUGGAGCUUAACUCCAUUUCAGCAAUGGAAACUACAAGACUAGAGUGUGGUAGGGGCAGAGGGAAUUCCCGGUGUAGCGGUGAAAUGCGUAGAUAUCGGGAAGAACACCAGUGGCGAAGGCGGUGUGCCGGGCC